AUGUGUUAGUCUUGUAUAUAUAAGACGGUCACAACGUGACGGAACAUCAGUGUAAUAGAGUAAUUGAAUGUAUACGGACAAAAUAUUAUUGGCCACGUGAGACACAGCGUUUGUUAUAGAGCGACUGUUGAAAUUAAGUGUAUCGUAAGUUGUAUUUGGAAAGAAUAAACCAGUUUUAUU